rnacentral:rRNA from 1 species
AUUGAACGCUGGCGGCAGGCCUAACACAUGCAAGUCGAGCGGAGCGGCGGACGGGUGCGUGAUGCCUAGGAAUCUGCCUGGUCGUGGGGGCUAACGUCCGGAAACCGGCGCUAAUACCGCAUACUCUCAGUUUAGCCUCGGUCGGAUUAGCUAGUUGGAGGGGUAAAGGCCUACCAAGGCGACGAUCCGUAACUGGUCUGAGAGGAUGAUCAGUCACACUGGAACUGAGACACGGUCCAGACUCCUACGGGAGGCAGCAGUGGGGAAUAUUGGACAAUGGGGGAAAGCCUGAUCCAGCCAUGCCGCGUGUGUGAAGAAGGUCUUCGGAUUGUAAAGCACUUUAGGUUGGGAGGCGUUACCAACAGAAUAAGCACCGGCUAACUACGUGCCAGCAGCCGCGGUAAUAC